CGGGGCGUAGCGCAGUUUGGCUAGCGCGCCACGUUCGGGACGUGGAGGCCCUGGGUUCGAAUCCCAGCGCCCCGA
rnacentral:tRNA from 1 species